GAUGAAGAACGCAGCGAAAUGCGAUAAGUAAUGUGAAUUGCAGAAUUCAGUGAAUCAUCGAAUCUUUGAACGCACAUUGCGCCCGCUAGUAUUCUGGCGGGCAUGCCUGUCCGAGCGUCAUUUCAACCCUCAAGCCCCCGGGCUUGGUGUUGGGGAUCGGCGAGCCUCCGCGCCCGCCGUCCCCUAAAUCUAGUGGCGGUCUCGCUGUAGCUUCCUCUGCGUAGUAGCACACCUCGCACUGGGAAACAGCGCGGCCACGCCGUUAAACCCCCAACUUCUGAAUGUUGACCUCGAAUCAGGUAGGAAUACCCGCUGAACUUAAGCAUAUCAAGCGGAGGA
rnacentral:misc_RNA from 1 species